CUGAAUAGGGCGCAUAAGUAACAGGUCGUAGACCCGAAACCAGGUGAUCUACCCAUGUCCAGGAUGAAGGUAAGGUAAUACUUACUGGAGGUCCGAACCCACGCACGUUGAAAAGUGCGGGGAUGAGGUGUGGGUAGCGGAGAAAUUCCAAUCGAACUUGGAGAUAGCUGGUUCUCUCCGAAAUAGCUUUAGGGCUAGCCUCGAGGUAAAGAGUCAUGGAGGUAGAGCACUGUUUGGACUAGGGGCCCUUCUCGGGUUACCGAAUUCAGAUAAACUCCGAAUGCCAUGUACUUAUACUCGGGAGUCAGACUGCGAGUGAUAAGAUCCGUAGUCGAAAGGGAAACAGCCCAGACCACCAGUUAAGGUCCCCAAAUAUAUGUUAAGUGGAAAAGGAUGUGGGGUUGCUUAGACAACCAGGAUGUUGGCUUAGAAGCAGCCACCAUUGAAAGAGUGCGUAAUAGCUCACUGGUCGAGUGACCCCGCGCCGAAAAUGUACCGGGGCUAAACAUAUUACCGAAACUGUGGAUGAACCUCUUCGGAGGUUCGUGGUAGGAGAGCGUUCUAAGGGCGGUGAAGUCAGACCGGAAGGACUGGUGGAGCGCUUAGAAGUGAGAAUGCCGGUAUGAGUAGCGAAAGAAGGGUGAGAAUCCCUUCCACCGAAUAUCUAAGGUUUCCUGAGGAAGGCUCGUCCGCU
rnacentral:rRNA from 1 species